rnacentral:rRNA from 1 species
AGCAGCCGCCGCGGUAAAACGGAGGGUGCAAGCGUUAUUCGGAAUUACUGGGCGUAAAGCGCACGCAGGCGGUUGCCCAAGUCAGAUGUGAAAGCCCCGGGCUUAACCUGGGAACUGCAUUUGAAACUGGGCGACUAGAGUAUGAAAGAGGAAAGCGGAAUUUCCAGUGUAGCAGUGAAAUGCGUAGAUAUUGGAAGGAACACCGAUGGCGAAGGCAGCUUUCUGGGUCGAUACUGACGCUCAUGUGCGAAAGCGUGGGGAGCAAACAGGAUUAGAUACCCGCGUAGUCCCUGUCUCUUAUAC